CUGAUUUUCUGUGAACACCCAUACUUCACUUUCUACAGUGGAUUGAUAGAUUUGCUUGAGGGGAAGCUUGUGGUUCUUCGGUUCCAAAUAAAAAUAAAAGAUGAAUUGGAGGCUAUAGCGUCCAGGUCACGAUCUUCAUCUGACAUGUCUGGGGCUGAAAAUGGAUCGGUUCAUGACAGCAAUGUUGAUGCAGAGUGCCAAAAUUGCAAGAGAAAAGGCCACAGAGUUAUCCUUGGAUUUAAAGAGCUAUAUAACGAAUAUGCAGUUCCUUUUGAAAUUUGGGAGGGAUUGGCCAAAUGUGAGCAUAAUGACACUCCUACAAAUUCAUGGCAUUAUAGUUCUCAGAGAUAAAACAAGCACGCUCUGUUUGCAGGUGACAGUCUGCAUUUUUAACUCGAUAUUUUUGCUUUUAAAGAGUUCAAAUCCGUGAUAGGGUGGUAACUUAAUUAUAGGUUGGCAAUAUGUAGCUGUGAGCUGAGUAUAAAUCAUUGUAGUUCAGUCAAGUUGCUAGAUCUAAUAUGCACAGUUGAGCCAAAAUCAUUGUGGGUCUUAUAAGUUGUCAAACCCAUCUCUCCUGGGUUUGGCAAUACAUCGAAUCCAAUUGGUAUUUGAGAUUCAUAUAAAGGCUUAGGUGCUAUCUCAAGACUAUUAACAUGAUCUAUUCAUGUCAGUAAUAAUCAUCUCUUUAUAUUUAUAGAUGUGUAAAAGGUUUCUCAAUAAGUUUAUUAUAUUUUCAUUUCAUUAAUGAUUUGUAAGGAAUAUUUAUUUUUUAUAAUAUCACAAGAGCAAAUAACUUCUCGGUCCUUUCAUUCCAUAAAGACGACAAUGUUUAGGGACUAUAAAUACCCUUAAAUUACCCAGAUAAAAGAUUCACAACUUCUCAUACUUUAAAAGUUUAUAUAUAUAUAUAUAUCUUAGAGCAUUAAUCACACAAAAACAAGAACAAAAGCAUGUUCUUGGAAUUAAAAGUUUCUUUUUACAUCUUAGGCUAAAAAGAAGAAAAUAAUGAUAUGAACAUUUAAAUAAAUAUUUAAAUAAUCAUUAUCCAAUUACCAAAUAUAUUGUUCCUUGAAUAUGCUAGAUUUUGAAACAUCAUCAGCAGGUAUCAGUAUUACAUGCUUCAAAUUUUCAAAAUUUGUUAUAUAUGCAAGUCCUUGAUUUCCUUUUCUUCUUUUCGAUAUGUCCGGAGAUGCUUUACUUUGCUAUAUUCUGGUGAUGCUGAUAGUAGCAUUGUAAGAGAAACCUGGGCUAGACUAAUCGAUCGAGCUCUUUCAAGGGGUGGUGUUGCGGAAGCUUGUUCAAUACUGAAGAGGGUUGGUUCCUGCAUGUAUCCUGGAGAGGGAGCUCUAGACACCCAUGCCUUCACCUUGAGAAGGCUGCACUGGAGAGACUGGAAUCAGGGAUUGAAACUGUAGGAGAUGAAGACGUAGCAAGAGCUCUUCUUGCUGCUUGCUAGGGUGCAAUUGAACCUGUAUCAAGCACUUAUGAUCAGUUAUUAUCGAAUGGAGCUAUCUUCCCAUCUCCCAACCUUAGGCUACGCCUUCUGCGAUCUGUGCUUGUGUACUCCGUGAAUGGGCGAUGAUUGUAUUUGCCAGAGGAUGGGUACAAGUGCUGCUGGAGCUUCAUUAAAAUUAGUUGGAUCAUUCUCACUGGAACAAAUUGUUGUCAUUAUUAACCAAGGGAUUCGUGAUAAGAUCACGAGUGCAGCAAACAGGUACAUGACAGAGGUGAGGAGGCUGCCCCUUCCCCGGAGCAGGACUGAAGCUGUUUACCAAGGAUUUCGAGGACUUGAAGAGUCCCUGAUAAGUCCUUUUUCUUGACAGAUUUUGAUUCUUUAGUGUUCCAUAGUUGUUGUAUGAAAAGGUUUAUUGUCGAUUUGCAAAUAAAAAAUUAAUAGAUGAAGUAGUUGAAAGUCACCAAUUAACGUUAUGGUUUGACAUCUUUAUCGUUUCAAUGUAACAUUGAGUCGCAGUUCAUAGCAAAGCAGAUAUCAAAUUUGAAGGCUGAUGAUGCCAAGAAUCAUAUUAACAAGUUCUUCAAAGAUGACAUGGAGAGGCCAGAAGAAUGAACAGAUGAUGAUUUAUCAAAAUUCUUGGCGGCUGUGAAAAACUUCGGCUAGAUGUAGCCUAAACCCUGCUUGACAAGCAAAUCAGAGGUCCUGUGGGGGUGGAUUCAGUGGCAGGCAUUGUAAUUGGAUGGGGUGGUUAAGUUUACCCUACUGAGAAAAGGUAAGUUGCGUUGGUGAGCAAAAGCAAAGCACUUGGUAAUGCGGUGGACACUGCAUUCUGUGACGGUGCAUGUGCUUGUCUUGUGUUGCGGGGGCAGCAAGCCAAGAACAGUGUUGCAGUUUGCGAGCGGUUUUGCAGCCGGUCAAAAAACACCUGCAAGAGUGUAUAUGGAGAAGAUAUUUCGUUUUUGAUGUUUAUGGUAUUUCUGGAAAUGAAAUUUCGUUUCUUGCUCGGCAGAAAUAAAAUUGCCCGACUUCUCCUGCACUAUAUCUUAUCGUUACCAUUAUUUUAUUUUCCUCGAGUUAAAUUCUUC